CGGUCCGAACAUAGUAUUAUACCAAUUGUUGUUCCAUUCGUCGCUCUCCACGAUUCAGAACAUCGUAGCCACUUACAAAUAUAUGUACAUAUACAUACGUAUGUAUAUAAUAAUUUUUUUGAAUAAGUUCCAACACAAUUACAUAUAUUUUCUUCAACUAACACCAACCCACACGUGUGGGUUCGAGGUUAAAAUGCGAGCCAUUUGCAUUUCUAGCGCGAGAGGAAGCAUUUAACAUAUAAAGCGAAGAAAAGUAAGGAAAAUUUUGAAAAUAUUUGUAAAUACAUUUCAUUAUUUAGAAAUCUUCAAUAACAUCAUCAGCAGUAGCAGAAGCAGGCACACAAUUUUUUUUUGGGAAAACUCGUUAUCGAUGCAGUGCUAAGGUGACAUUUCUUUAUUAAAGACAUAAAUAUUUUAUUUUCUGACGUUAUAACU